GGAUCAUGUAAUUGCGUAUAUGACGAUUGCUGUGAGAUUUGAGAGUUCCAUUGUCCGGUCUCUCAAAGGAAGAAAGAUGGGAAUGUCAAACAAAGGAAUCGAGAGAUGAGUAGUUCCUUUGAUGAGGGGCCCCUGGUCAGGAAGAGCAAACAGGAGUAGUUGAAAAAGACUACCACGUGCUGGUAUUGUUACGACUCACUUGGGACAUUCCAUCUUGAUACGUGGUCGGGCUGGGCUGCUACUAGUAGGCUUCACCGCUACGGGAAUUUCCUUGAGGAAGAAAGAAAGGCAGUGACCUCUGUUUCAGUCGACAUC
rnacentral:lncRNA from 1 species